rnacentral:tRNA from 1 species
GGACAGGGAGAUAAGCUGGUUGUGCGCAGCCCUGAAAAGGCUGGCGUCGGGGGUUCAACUCCCUCCCUGGCCA